GUUGUAAACAAGAGCCGCCGUAUGAAAAAAAUCCUUGCCUUCAAAUUUGCAAACCAUGAAUCGAGAUCACCGUGUGAGUAAUCAAUUUUUCCCGUGUCGAACCCGCAAUAUUUGCAAUUAAACGUUCAAGAAAGGAAUAUACCUAAAUAUGAGGGCCAUCAACAUGCCGCUGCAAUUUCCGUAACAAUCCAAUUUUGAAGAGCUGCAGAAAUAGAUUCAAUAG